rnacentral:rRNA from 1 species
UCGAGGGGCAGCAUGAACUUAGCUUGCUAAGUUUGAUGGCGACCGGCGCACGGGUGAGUAACACGUAUCCAACCUGCCGAUAACUCCGGAAUAGCCUUUCGAAAGAAAGAUUAAUACCGGAUAGCAUACGAAUAUCGCAUGAUAUUUUAUUAAAGAAUUUCGGUCAUCGAUGGGGAUGCGUUCCAUUAGGUUGUUGGCGGGGUAACGGCCCACCAAGCCUUCGAUGGAUAGGGGUUCUGAGAGGAAGGUCCCCACAUUGGAACUGAGACACGGUCCAAACUCC